GUAGGUACUCGAGUGGCGAACGGGUGAGUAACACGUGGGUGAUCUGCCCUGCACUCUGGGAUAAGCCUGGGAAACUGGGUCUAAUACCGGAUAGGACCAUGCUUUAGUGUGUGUGGUGGAAAGUUUUUCGGUGUAGGAUGAGCCCGCGGCCUAUCAGCUUGUUGGUGGGGUAAUGGCCUACCAAGGCGGCGACGGGUAGCCGGACUGAGAGGUUGGUCGGCCACAUUGGGACUGAGAUACGGCCCAG
rnacentral:rRNA from 1 species